rnacentral:rRNA from 1 species
AUUGGAAACGAUGGCUAAUACCGCAUAAUGCCUACGGGCCAAAGAGGGGGACCUUCGGGCCCCUCGCGUCAAGAUAUGCCUAGGUGGGAUUAGCUAGUUGGUGAGGUAAUGGCUCACCAAGGCGACGAUCCCUAGCUGGUCUGAGAGGAUGAUCAGCCACACUGGAACUGAGACACGGUCCAGACUCCUACGGCCGGCAGCAGUGGGGAAUAUUGCACAAUGGGCGCAAGCCUGAUGCAGCCAUGCCGCGUGUAUGAAGAAGGCCUUCGGGUUGUAAAGUACUUUCAGCAGUGAGGAAGGGGGUGUCGUUAAUAGCGGCAUCUCUUGACGUUAGCUGCAGAAGAAGCACCGGCUAACUCCGUGCCAGCAGCCGCGGUAAUACGGAGGGUGCGAGCGUUAAUCGGAAUUACUGGGCGUAAAGCGCAUGCAGGUGGUUUGUUAAGUCAGAUGUGAAAGCCCGGGGCUCAACCUCGGAACUGCAUUUGAAACUGGCAAACUAGAGUACUGUAGAGGGGGGUAGAAUUUCAGGUGUAGCGGUGAAAUGCGUAGAGAUCUGAAGGAAUACCAGUGGCGAAGGCGGCCCCCUGGACAGAUAC